GACGAACGCUGGCGGCGUGCUUAACACAUGCUAGUCGAACGGAAAGGCCCUGCUUUUGUGGGGUGCUCGAGUGGCGAACGGGUGAGUAACACGUGAGUAACCUGCCCUUGACUUUGGGAUAACUUCAGGAAACUGGGGCUAAUACCGGAUAGGAGCUCCUGCUGCAUGGUGGGGGUUGGAAAGUUUCGGCGGUUGGGGAUGGACUCGCGGCUUAUCAGCUUGUUGGUGGGGUAGUGGCUUACCAAGGCUUUGACGGGUAGCCGGCCUGAGAGGGUGACCGGCCACAUUGGGACUGAGAUACGGCCCAGACUCCUACGGGAGGCAGCAGUGGGGAAUAUUGCACAAUGGGCGGAAGCCUGAUGCAGCAACGCCGCGUGCGGGAUGACGGCCUUCGGGUUGUAAACCGCUUUCGCCUGUGACGAAGCGUGAGUGACGGUAAUGGGUAAAGAAGCACCGGCUAACUACGUGCCAGCAGCCGCGGUGAUACGUAGGGUGCGAGCGUUGUCCGGAUUUAUUGGGCGUAAAGGGCUCGUAGGUGGUUGAUCGCGUCGGAAGUGUAAUCUUGGGGCUUAACCCUGAGCGUGCUUUCGAUACGGGUUGACUUGAGGAAGGUAGGGGAGAAUGGAAUUCCUGGUGGAGCGGUGGAAUGCGCAGAUAUCAGGAGGAACACCAGUGGCGAAGGCGGUUCUCUGGGCCUUUCCUGACGCUGAGGAGCGAAAGCGUGGGGAGCGAACAGGCUUAGAUACCCUGGUAGUCCACGCUGUAAACGGUGGGUACUAGGUGUGGGGUCCAUUCCACGGGUUCCGUGCCGUAGCUAACGCUUUAAGUACCCCGCCUGGGGAGUACGGCCGCAAGGCUAAAACUCAAAGGAAUUGACGGGGCCCCGCACAAGCGGCGGAGCAUGCGGAUUAAUUCGAUGCAACGCGUAGAACCUUACCUGGGUUUGACAUGGAUCGGGAGUGCUCAGAGAUGGGUGUGCCUCUUUUGGGGUCGGUUCACAGGUGGUGCAUGGCUGUCGUCAGCUCGUGUCGUGAGAUGUUGGGUUAAGUCCCGCAACGAGCGCAACCCUUGUUCACUGUUGCCAGCACGUUAUGGUGGGGACUCAGUGGAGACCGCCGGGGUCAACUCGGAGGAAGGUGGGGAUGACGUCAAGUCAUCAUGCCCCUUAUGUCCAGGGCUUCACGCAUGCUACAAUGGCUGGUACAGAGAGUGGCGAGCCUGUGAGGGUGAGCGAAUCUCGGAAAGCCGGUCUCAGUUCGGAUUGGGGUCUGCAACUCGACCUCAUGAAGUCGGAGUCGCUAGUAAUCGCAGAUCAGCAACGCUGCGGUGAAUACAAUCCCGGGGCU
rnacentral:rRNA from 1 species